rnacentral:rRNA from 1 species
GAUGAACGCUGGCGGCGUGCCUAACACAUGCAAGUCGAGCGAACGGACGAGAAGCUUGCUUUUCUGAUGUUAGCGGCGGACGGGUGAGUAACACGUGGAUAACCUACCUAUAAGACUGGGAUAACUUCGGGAAACCGGAGCUAAUACCGGAUAAUAUUUUGAACCGCAUGGUUCAAAAGUGAAAGACGGUCUUGCUGUCACUUAUAGAUGGAUCCGCGCUGCAUUAGCUAGUUGGUAAGGUAACGGCUUACCAAGGCAACGAUGCAUAGCCGACCUGAGAGGGUGAUCGGCCACACUGGAACUGAGACACGGUCCAGACUCCUACGGGAGGCAGCAGUAGGGAAUCUUCCGCAAUGGGCGAAAGCCUGACGGAGCAACGCCGCGUGAGUGAUGAAGGUCUUCGGAUCGUAAAGCUCUGUUAUUAGGGAAGAACAUAUGUGUAAGUAACUGUGCACAUCUUGACGGUACCUAAUCAGAAAGCCACGGCUAACUACGUG